rnacentral:lncRNA from 1 species
CAGAUAGUCAAAGACGACGCCGAUAUUAUUGAUCAAGAUAUUGAACGUAAGUAAAAAUUUUGCCUGGCUUCCAUGUAUAAGGAAAACCACAGCAGAAUAUUGUGUCUUAAAUCAGAGACGGGAUGGGAAUUCUGCUGGGAUGGAAAAAUAGCGGUUGUGGGACCAUUGAGGUCAGAAAAUGCAAACUGAAAAAAAUCAAAUGAAAAGAAAAAAAUCAAACGAAGAACUGCAGUUCAGGAGGUACAAAGAAGAAGAACUGCAGUUCAGGAGGUGCAAAUAAGUAUCCCGCCCCCUCCCCCUUGGUCAGGUGGCUGACCCAGCCCAGCUCAGUAGACCUAUUACCUAAUGAACCAAAUUUUGAUCUAGACAAGUCUCGGUCAAUUACCCGUGCGUAAUACAAAAUGACUGAAAAACGGCAAACUUCGCAGGGCUAUAUUAUCCGCAUUUUGCAACGAAACUUCGGCAUAUUACUAAUUUUGUUACGCCCUUUCAAGCUGUGAUAAAAUCUUUGUCUAGACUUGUCUAGAUCAAAAUUUUGUUCAUUAGGGAAUAGGUCCAUAUAACAUUCACUGAAAAUUAUUUCUUGCUUUCCUUGAGGUGCCCGCUGGAUUUUUGGGGGCGCCCGUAUCUUUGCGUGCCACCACUUAGGCUGAAAAAUAUUUCUUCGAAUCUGACGUUCUCAUCUUUGUUGUAGUGUACAGUUUACUGGAUGGAAACGAGCUGCUAGGAUGUUUAACAGUGACAGUAGAAGCUCUUGAUGCUUUGAAAAGUUUGUAUACUGAUUCAACAUAGACCAACUAAAAUAUGGCUGACCAACCAGCCCAAUGGUGAGCUCAGCAAUCAAGGCAAGGAGUAUUUUGAAGUUUCACCAAGCCACAGAAUAAAGACACACAGAAGGUCGACUCAGCCAAAGAAAGCAUAACCGCUGCCACGCCAUGAUUCGUCAUCAAAAUGCUGAUGCCAAGGUCCUAGUCAGUGCGCUUAUGAGAGGUGUUCCCCCUGGAUGAAUAUUAGCAGGGGGGUGAAUACCUCUCAUAAUCGCACUGGCUAGGGUGACUAAUUUAAUACAGUUACACCAAAAUCAUAUCGGAAAAACCAAGAAGUCGGGCUUCUGUUUGUCUCUAUUCUGUGGCUCAACAGUCAAGGGAAGGAGUAUUUUGAAGUUUCACCAAGCACGCGUCGGGCAACACAUGAUGCUCUCAACUGACACAGUGACAAAAGUUUCUUUCCAUCAUAUGUGGUAGUCUUCAAGCAACGAAAUAAAAUUGGGAGAUAUAGUUUCAUUUUCUCUUUCCUAUCUGAAUUUGACCACCAUUUGCUGCCCUAGCUUUAACGCUUACAGAAAUCCCCAAUGGAUGAUUCUAGAUAUAGACGAAAUUUUAUUCUAUAUAAGAAAACGGGAAUCCAUUACUGUGCCAUAUAGCUGGAAAGAGUAUCUUAAAAUGAGUAAAAUUUCAAAGUUUGGUUGCGAAUUGUUGUAAAACGAGGAAAAUAUAGCCCUGUGCAGUUCGUAAAUUUUGUAUAUAUUUGCAUUACGCGCGGGAAAAAUAACCAUUUUUGAGCCGAAAGUGGUUAUUCUUACCGCGCGUAAUACAAUAUAUACAAAAUUUGCGAACUUCACAGGGCUAUAUUUUCUUCAUUUUACAACAUUUAGCAACCGAUCUUUGCAGUUUUACUCAUUCUAAGACGCUGUUUUGUAGCCGUGGUGUUGGAUUUCGUUCUUCUUGCCUUGAUCAAAAUUUAGUCUAUAGCUGCAGGAAUCACCCAUUGCCGGAAUUAAUCUCUGCAUAUGCAGGUGAAAGGAGAGAUGAAGUAUUUUUAAAAACAUUGACUUGAUAAAUUUAUAGUAACCAAGCGUAUUUUAAAUACGUCGUAUAAUUUUUGUAGAUAUUUGUACACCAUGACUGACAUGCACUCAGAUAAAAACUUUUUAGAUAUUUGUUAUGUAUGUGGAGAGUUUUUAAAAAUGAAGAUACAUGAAUGAUUUCAUGCCGGC